GCCAUGGCGGGGGGAGCUCGGACGCCUGGGUUCCCUCCCGGGGGGUUUCACCUGACUCCCGACCUGCAGCCCCUGUCCUGGGGGGCCGGACCCCGUGUGGGGCGGGACGCUCAGGCGGUGGUGAUGUGCGGCGCUGGAGCUGAGGACUUCGGGGCAUGUGGGCGGUGGUGAUGUGCAGCGCUGACGCUGAGGACCCCGGGGUGUCUGGGGCUGGAUUCUCGCCCCAUGUCUAUCUCUGACAUGAGCCCAGCGUGGUGAGACCCCCGGGGUCUCUGGAUGGAGAGCCCAUGGCCAGAGCAGUGCGGUGGCAGGGCACUGUGACACUUGGACUCAGCCGGGUGGCUCCUGGGGUGUCUGUUUUCUAAGGAAAGGUGCUUGGUGGACUUUGGCUCCAGCUACUCACCAGCGUCCCCCCGGGCUGCGACGGAGACAGAAAUCCAGGGGGAUGGGCCAGGCUGCUGGAUGGGGAACUGAAAGGAGAAGUGGGGGGACUGCGGAGCUCAGGCCUGCCGCGUGGACAGGAGCCGGCACCCCCAGCAGCACGGGGGGGGAGGGGGAGGACUUGGGCCUGGGCU